UUUAACGAGAGUUUGAUCCUGGCUCAGGAUGAACGCUGGCGGCGUGCUUAACACAUGCAAGUCGAGCGAAGCACUUUACUUUGAUUUCUUCGGAAUGAAGAGUGAUUUGACUGAGCGGCGGACGGGUGAGUAACGCGUGGGUAACCUGCCUCAUACAGGGGGAUAACAGUUAGAAAUGGCUGCUAAUACCGCAUAAGACCACGGUACCGCAUGGUACA
rnacentral:rRNA from 1 species